CCUACGGGAGGCAGCAGUCGAGAAUCAUUCACAAUGGGGGAAACCCUGAUGGUGCGACGCCGCGUGGGGGAAUGAAGGUCUUCGGGUUGUAAACCCCUGUCAUGUGGGAGCAAAUUAAAAAGAUAGUACCACAAGAGGAAGAGACGGCUAACUCUGUGCCAGCAGCCUCGGUAAUACAGAGGUCUCAAGCGUUGUUCGGAAUCACUGGGCGUAAAGGGUGCGUAGGCGGGUUCGUAAGUCGUGUGUGAAAGGUGCGGGCUCAACCCGCGGACGGCACAUGAUACUGCGAGACUAGAGUAAAGGUGGGGGAAGCGGAAUUCUAGGUGUAGCAGUGAAAUGCUUAGAUAUCGAGAGGAACACUCGUGGCGAAGGCGGGUUCCUGGACAUUAACUGACGCUGAGGCUCGAAGGCGAGGGGAGCGAAAGGGAUUAGAUACCCGGGUAGUC
rnacentral:rRNA from 1 species